rnacentral:ribozyme from 11 species
GAAAGAAAGAAAAGAAAGAAAGAAAGAAAGAAAGAAACGGCACUGACUGUCUCGUUCGGUCUCCCUUGCUGCUUCCCUUCCGUCCUUCUUUCGUUCUUUUUGUUUGUGCGAUUUGUUGAUCAACCGAUGGGUCCAGAUCGACAGAGAGAGAGGGAGAGAGAGGCCGCGCGAACCCUUUUCGGUUCGACGAGUAGACAAGAGAAGA